CGGGGCCCGAGUUGUAAUUUGUAGAGGAUGUUUCGGGUGCGGCGCCGGUCUAAGUUCCUUGGAACAGGACGUCAUAGAGGGUGAGAAUCCCGUAUGCGACCGGCGAUCAACCCCAUGUGAAACCCCUUCGACGAGUCGAGUUGUUUGGGAAUGCAGCUCAAAAUGGGUGGUAAAUUUCAUCUAAAGCUAAAUACUGGCCAGAGACCGAUAGCGCACAAGUAGAGUGAUCGAAAGAUGAAAAGCACUUUGGAAAGAGAGUCAAACAGUACGUGAAAUUGUUGAAAGGGAAGCGCUUGCAACCAGACCUGCCCCUGGGCGAUCAGCCGUUAUUCUUAGCGGUGCACUCGUCCUUGUUCAGGCCAGCAUCGGUUCGGGCGGCCGGAUAAAGGCCCCGGGAAUGUAGCUCCCUUCGGGGAGUCUUAUAGCCCGGGGUGCAAUG
rnacentral:rRNA from 1 species